rnacentral:lncRNA from 1 species
AAACAUUAUGCAAGGAGCUAGCCCAAAGACGCAAAACACUUUACAAAAAGGGGACAUAGACUUUACCUGGGCGAACUUGAACAUAUCCCGGCUCACGAGCUCGGACACCCGGUUAAGCGCCUCGACGCUGGCGCGCCCGCACUCCUCAAGGCCCCGCUAGAGAUAGGCCUCUGACGGGUCGUCUAGCACGAACCUGGCCCUUCCCUCUGGAUCGUUAGGGUUGAGCCAGACCACGGGACUCUGGCCCUAGGCCAUGCUCCCUCACCCCUCCCUUGCAGGGGCCUCGGGUCGGGCCGGACCCUUCCCAUGGGACCUCGCGAGAGGCACCACGCUGAGCGCCACCUCGGCCCAGCCCUCCUCAGCCUGUCUAGGAUGACCAUGGCCCUCUUGGCUGGCAUCCCUCGAAGGGGGAAUAGCCCCGAGGGCCAGGACCGUCCCGUCCGACUCUUGGGGCCUCGGUGUCCCCGCCUCCUUCGUCGGGGGAUCUCGCGUCUUCCGCCUCGUCUCCUGCCCCCCUUCCUCGUGGUGGAGCUCACCCUCCUCGCGGCUCAAGGGGGGCGGCGACCUGGGCCUCGCUGACCCGGGGGUCGACUGCGCCCCCCUCUUCACGGCCUUUAGGGGUGCAAGCCCCACUGAAGCCACCUUAUGCUUCCGGCUGAUGAGGAGAUAACGCUAGUUAAAAGAAAGAGAAAAACAAAAAAUCAAAAGAAAAAUAAAAAAACUAGCACAUACCUUGCUCGGGGGGCGGCACUCUUCUCGGAGCUCGGAGCUCCCUGGGUGCCUCCCGGGGCGCCAAGGGUCGUCGGGCGGAUCCCUGUCUCCCCAGCGGUUGGCACGGGGGCUUCGACGGUAGUCUCGGCCCGCGGCGCCUCAGCCGAGCCUCCCACCUCCGCCCC